GACGAACGCUGGCGGCGUGCCUAAUACAUGCAAGUCGAGCGGACCAAAGGGAGCUUGCUCCUGGAGGUUAGCGGCGAACGGGUGAGUAACACGUGGGCAACCUGCCUGUAAGACUGGGAUAACAUCGAGAAAUCGGUGCUAAUACCGGAUAAUAAAAAGAACUGUAUGGUUCUUUUUUGUAAAGAAUGGUUUCGGCUAUCACUUACAGAUGGGCCCGCGGCGCAUUAGCUAGUUGGUGAGGUAACGGCUCACCAAGGCGACGAUGCGUAGCGACCUGAGAGGGUGAUCGGCCACACUGGGACUGAGACACGGCCCAGACUCCUACGGGAGGCAGCAGUAGGGAAUCUUCCGCAAUGGACGAGAGUCUGACGGAGCAACGCCGCGUGAGUGAUGAAGGUUUUCGGAUCGUAAAACUCUGUUGUUAGGGAAGAACAAGUGCCGUUCGAAAGGGCGGCACCUUGACGGUACCUAACGAGAAGACCACGGCUAACUACGUGCCAGCAGCCGCGGUAAAGC
rnacentral:rRNA from 1 species